GAGAAAAGACAGGACAGUCACACUACGCGUAAUUGAGGUUGAGAAAAAAAACAAUAACAAAAUGACUAAAAUUGUGAUGGCUUAUAUUGGAUUCCUUCUCCUUGCCAUUCAGUUUUCAUCACACGUCCACGCGCAAAACACUACCACACAGUCCACUGCCAUGACUGUUCCGAUCAAAGCUGGCGACGUGAGUUCUAACAUGACCAAGAUGCCCGAUGUCACUACCAAGAACAUCACCAUUCCCAAAGGAGCCAGUGCGUCCUUGCAGUCCAGCCCCGUCACGCUCCUCAUCCACAUUGCGGUGGUGGGUUCGCUCAUACAGGGCCGUUUCUAGAGUACUCAUGUGCAUUGAACACACAGCCAGGAUUAACAUCGGCGGCCUAGCUGGGCAAACUGUUUCACAAACCAAUCUUUAAAAAUUAUUUGAGGACCGUCAUGUACGCAAAUUGGGAAGUACCGGACGAGAACACCGUUCUACUUCACGCAUGGGAAUUCAUAUUUGCGCUCAAACCAGUAGGCCUACCCAUUCCGUGGACACUGGCCCCAAGCACAUAUGUCCUAACGUGUCGUCCACUCUGUGGAGGCAGGCUAUGAGGAUGUACGAAACUCCUUACUUUUCUGGUUCCUGUGUACAGACGACAGGGGUCGUUAGUGAUUGUUGAUGCUAACACAUCCAUUUAUCUGACCUGUUGCAUGUGUCCAUACAGUGGUAUUUCUAUUCCUGCAAAGGAUACUUUGUCAGAGGGUUGAUGUACACUUGUGAUUUUAGUGUAGUAUAACGUUUAUUGUAAAAACAUCAUGAUAUAACUGUUGCAGCCUAAUAUGCUCAUAGAUUGUUCAAUAAAGUUUUGACAUGUA